GACGAACGCUGGCGGCGUGCUUAACACAUGCAAGUCGAACGGAGCGAAUGAAAGCUUGCUUUUAUGAGCUUAGUGGCAAACGGGUGAGUAACACGUAGACAACCUGCCGACAGGAUGGGGACAACAUUCCGAAAGGAAUGCUAAUACCGAAUGAAGCGGAGGAGAGGCAUCUCUCCUGCGUGAAAGAUGGCCUCUUUUUAUGCUAUCACCUGUUGAUGGGUCUGCGUCUGAUUAGCUGGUUGGUGAGGUAACAGCUCACCAAGGCGACGAUCAGUAGCCGGUCUGAGAGGAUGAACGGCCACAUUGGGACUGAGACACGGCCCAGACUCCUACGGGAGGCAGCAGUGGGGAAUCUUCCGCAAUGGGCGCAAGCCUGACGGAGCAACGCCGCGUGAGUGAAGAAGGUCUUCGGAUCGUAAAGCUCUGUUGACGGGGACGAACGUGCGGGGUGCGAAUAGCGC
rnacentral:rRNA from 1 species